CAUCGGUAGGGGAGCGUUCUGUUGUAGAUUGAAGUAUUAGCGGAAGCGGAUAUGGACGAAGCAGAAGUGAGAAUGUCGGCUUGAGUAACGAAAAUAUAGGUGAGAAUCCUAUACCCCGAAAACCCAAGGUUUCCUCCGGAAGGCUCGUCCGCGGAGGGUAAGUCAGGACCUAAGGCGAGGCUGAAAAGCGUAGUCGAUGGACAACGGGUUAAUAUUCCCGUACCAU
rnacentral:rRNA from 1 species